UACGAAGGGGGCUAGCGUUGUUCGGAAUCACUGGGCGUAAAGCGCACGUAGGCGGCUUGUUAAGUCAGGGGUGAAAUCCCGGAGCUCAACUCCGGAACUGCCUUUGAUACUGGCGAUCUAGAGAUCGAGAGAGGUGAGUGGAAUUCCGAGUGUAGAGGUGAAAUUCGUAGAUAUUGGGAAGAACACCAGUGGCGAAGGCGGCUAACUGGUCCGGUACUGACGCUGAGGUGCGAAAGCGUGGGGAGCAAACAGG
rnacentral:rRNA from 1 species